GUAAGGGCCCCCAGAAAAGCUGGAGAAACAACAUCAGGGUGAGAGUAAGGGCCCUCACCGUUAUGGACAUUGAAUCUCAUGUCCGAGCCGGGCUUCCCCGUGGUGAAGUGACCGAGAGAUGCGAAGAUCAGGACGAGGGUAAGGGCCCCCGCCGUUAUGGACCUUGCUCUCUUUUGCCGGUGUGUGCUUCACCGUGGGCGAAGUGUGGCCGUGUGGACACCACUUUCCGCCAUUGAUCGAAACAAAGUGUAGAUCCCCCACGUGAAGCAUGUUGGUCGGGAAAAAAUUAUAAAUAGUUAAUAUGAAGUAUUUAUAGUAUGGUACAGAUGUGUGUUUUAUAGUAUGCAAUGAUGGCGUGCUGCGCAAAUAAGAUAUAUGGUGUCCACGAGAUACAAACACUUAUGCUACGGCUGGAUAAUCAGGGAGGCCAGGAAAAAACCUGCAGUACAGGAAAACCUGGGUAGGGCCAAGACCACCAGCAGCUCCCCACAUAGCUUUAUCUUUACAAAAUUAGGAAAUGUCAGUAUCGCGCUAGACACCACUAAGCGUUAUUUGUUUAUUGUUUUUGGUUUGUUUUCUUUUUCUUUUCUUUUUUUUUUGUUAUGAAACUACGCUUUUGAGCAUAAAUAAGGGAACUAAACGAUCAGAAUUAAUUUGUCGCAAUCCAAAGCAGAACGCCACCGCACAGUGGACAAUACAUAUAUAUAGUUCAGGUAAUAAAAUGUAGAUUAUGUCAUAAAUAGUUCAUAUAUACGUAGAGAGUUCAUAGCCACUAGGACGUAUAGGAGUGAUCCAGAUAGGUGAUGGAAGGCGGGAAACCAAGAUGGCGCAAAUCCUGAGAUCUUCUUCGUGUCCUUCCUUCGUUUGUAGCAGAAUGACUAAAAGAGAGGCGGAGAAAAGCAAAAACUGCUCUGUGUAAUCAUGAGCUGACCGAUAAUAGUGGUUUCAAUGCGCGAUGAAUAAAUUUGUAGUGGAAUGCGAGUGCUCUACUACCCCUAGAUUUGGCUUUGUCUCGGCGUGUGAUACACUGUAGUGAACUGUGAAGUAUGUUUAGUUCGAAUUGCAUGUGGGGUGUAUACGCGAUGGCAUAAAAUAGGAAAUAACCUCGGAAAUAACAGUGUAUAGUAUUAGGAAUUGUCUUGAUCUGGUGAAAUAUGCCGUAAACCUUUUCAUUUUGGUACGCUAUAUAAGUACCUACUAUGUACAGUACUGGGUUUUGUAAAACGCCAUGCAAAUGCAGGUGAUCAUGAUGUCAUGCAGUAGUAUUGCAAUUAUUAUAGCGCGUGCUAUUUGAUUUGUGGUAUAAAAUGCGAAGAUCGCUGUUGACAUAUUUUGUG